rnacentral:rRNA from 1 species
GGCCAGAUGUGGAAGCCCGGUAACGGGUGGAGCUGACUGGUACUAAUAGGCCGAGGGCUUGUCCUCAGUUG